CUCAACAAUCUAUUAAAUGACAGUAACAUUUGAAGACCCUGUCUUGUGAUGACACCCUCUGGUGAAUGAGAUGUGACUGGCAACCAUAUCAUAUCACACCACACAUCACCCCUAUUAUGAAGACUGGAUGCUCCACGCUCCAAUCUGCUGCUUCUUGCCUUAGUGCACAGCGCCAUUAAGAAGUAGCAGAUCCGAGUCCUGUCCUCCAAAGCUCCUCCAUUUUCUCUUCAGCACUUCAUGAUUCAGUGUGGUGGGUAUCAGGUGCUUGCCCCUGUGCAUGCUGGGAUUGCUGCGGCUGUUGCUCCCAUCGCCUCCUGAUUCUCCAUGUCCACAGUCUCACUCUCUCAGCCUGCCUUUCUUACUAGGGUGAUUAUUCUGAAGCUCCAAACUGCUCUGACUGUCCUGGCAGAGAGCCUCCCACAGGUCGCCCCAAGGUUCCUAGGGUGAAUAUUCCUAACCUAGAGUGACCCUUCAAGCACUCAUGAUUGCCUCAUGACGGCUGACUGACACAUCAGCUUCUCUUUCCGGCCUCAUCUACGAUCCUCAGCUCAAUCCAAAUGCGGUGGCCGAGUGGUGUUGCUCAGUUCUCUGAACCCAUUUCCUUCUGAAGCCUCCUUGCCUUUGCAGCUGCUGACCAUGCACACUCUGGUCCUUUGGCUGUUAUUAUAGGCAUUCUUAUAACUUCAGCUUGAGUACUGGGGACUUUGGAGAGAGACAUCGUCUCUGAUUUAACUCUUCUGUCACCUGUUUAACUGUUCAGGGGCCAUGCUUGUACACACCUGGCACUCACUGCAUGCUCAGACAUACCGUCUUCUCUGUAAUUACUCCCACAGCAAUUCAGGAAUCCUUCACUAGAACUAGCCUUUCCUUUGUGUGUGUCCACUGCUUCAUAUAUGUGAAUAUGUAUUCAUUACGUAAGUGUUCAUAUUCAAAUGUAUGAAUAGGUACUCACGAGUGAGUGCCUUCUGCUCACACCUCCCUCCCCUACUCACUCGUCAGAUCACUUCAUUCAGAGUGGUUUCUCUCUGUAUUACUUCAUCAAAACAAUGCGUCAAAGGGUUACCAAUAAUCUCUGCUGCGUUUGUGGGAGACUUCUUUCCUGCGUUUUCAGAUGCGCUGACUGACGCUCUUUUGGAAUGUCAUUCUUACCCACCAGGCUGUCCCGACACCAUUUGCUGUUUUCUAUGCUUCCCUCUAGUGUUUUGUUAUUUCAUUAAAUGUCUCAAGGCCCAGCUCUAAAUUUAAAGUUUUAAUGGACUGUACAUAUUUGAGUUAACACAGUACUUGUACAUGUUUUUGAGGGCACAGUGUGGCAUUGCCACACUUGGAUACAGUGUAUCAGAUCAGGGUAGCUGUAUUGGCCACGGUGGGGCAUGUAUCAUUUGUGUUACUAACUUUCUUCUUCCCUGAGCUCUCCAGAAAUCUUCUCUAAGCUUGCUUGCUGCUCCAUUACUACCCACAUGAAGAAUAUUUGUACAAUCUCACUUCUACACUGCACUUCCCUUUAAGUGCAUGUAUGUGCGAUCUUGUACACUUGCUAUCUAUUAACAUUAUCGAAUGAUUCAGACACAUCCCACUUAAGGUGCCCAUAUGAAAACUUGCAAGGUCCCUUGCCUCCAUGAGUCGUUUUAUCACUUUACAAUCUAGAAAUCUGGAAAUGAUACCUGACGAUUGGAUCUUCCAACCCACCCCAAACCUUAUCAAUUACAUCACAAAGCUCUGAAAUGAAUUCCUUUCUCUUGACCCCCAAUAGUAUGGGUUAUUCCAGUUAGAGUCUAUUUUUGUCUGGAUUACUGACUUAUGCUAACUGGGUUUAAGGUCCCUGUUCAGUCACUAGGAAGAUUAUUUUCCAGUUGCAAAGGACAAAAUGCAUGGGUGGUCCCUAUGAUCUUCUCCAGACUGGGUUUAUAACAACAUCUUAAGCUACCCAAUCUCUAGGCUCCACUCUUUUCCCCCCUUUUGUUCUCUUCUGCCCUCCUCUCAGGCAGUCUUUGCAUUAGCUUCUGUACCCUGCUCUUCCCACACCAUCUCCCACUGAAGCUUCAACAAGUACUUCUCAAACCCAACCUUAGUGAGACCAGAGACUGCCUCUUCACUAAGAUCCUACAGGGUGCUCUGGCUGGCUGGCAUUAGCAAAGUCUACUUGUACUCCAGAUUCUCCUGUGCAUAGGAGAAGCAGAAAAGCAAGCAAACAAAAACCAAGACAAACAAGUAAACUAACCUAAGCAAAGGGCAGUCACUGCUGUCAGAUCCAAAUCACCGCCUGAGCGGGAAGAAAGGCCCAGAGGAGGGCAGAGGCAGGAGAAAGAGGUGGGCACUUCAGUGGGACCUUACUUUUUGUCACUGAAACCCUAUUGCAUAAGCCAGGCGUGGUGGUGCCUGCCUUUGAUCUCAGCACUUAGAAGGCAGAAGCAGGUGGCUCUCUCUGAGUUCCCGUUCACCUUGCUUUACCACAGUGAGCUCCAGGCAGUCAAGUCUACACACUGAGACUCUGCUUCUAAUAACAACAACAU
ensembl:antisense